GGGGCUGUGGCUCAGUGGUACAGUGCUUGCCUGGCAUGCAUGACACACUGGGUUCAAUCCUCAGCACCA
rnacentral:tRNA from 1 species